rnacentral:rRNA from 1 species
CGCGCAGGCGGUCGAUUUAGUCGCGUGUGAAAGCCCCCGGCUCAACCGGGGAGGGUCACGCGAUACUGAUCGACUCGAAGGCAGGAGAGGGUAGUGGAAUUCCCGGUGUAGUGGUGAAAUGCGUAGAUAUCGGGAGGAACACCAGUGGCGAAGGCGACUACCUGGCCUGUUCUUGACGCUGAGGCGCGAAAGCUAGGGGAGCAAACG